UACGGAGGGUGCAAACGUUUAUCCGGAAUCACUGGGCGUAAAGCGCAUGUAGGUGGUUUGGUAAGUGGGUGAUUAAAGACCGAUGCUUAACAUCGGGACUGUUGCCUAUACUGCUUGACUUGAGGAUGACAGGGGUAAGCGGAACUUUAGGUGUAGGAGUGAAAUCCGUAGAUAUCUAAAGGAACACCAAUGGCGAAGGCAGCUUACUGGGUUUUUCCUGACACUGAGAUGCGAAAGCGUGGGGAGCGAACGGG
rnacentral:rRNA from 1 species